UAACAACGUAUAACCUGAGAUGCUGAUGAAGUUGUCGAAGACUAUCAAGGCUUUAUUUUACUUUUUGAUUUCCUCUUUUUAUUCCCUGUAGAUAAGAUGCUUUCAGGUGUGUCACAGGUAAUAGCAAAGUGCAGUAUAAUGUACUAAAUUUGAGAAACACUCAUUAAAAGAUAAUUUCUCAAACACAUUUCCUGUUAUACCUAUUGCAUAAAGGGAAGGAUAUGGCAAGCAAAUUGAGGGCCUCCCCCCCCUUGGAUCCGUCAGUGGCCGUUUCUCAGGUUUGUCACUGGUUUUCACACUCCAGUGAGUCUCCGCCUAGCUAUAAAUACGCAGGGUUGAGUUUCGAACCCUGACCCGGGGUAAUUGGAACGCACUUCACCCAGCCAAACGUUUAUCCUCCCUUCUGACUGGCCGAUAGGUUGGUACUUGGGGAAACCCGGGGGAAGGUAAAUUGUAAUAACCCGGGUGUUACACUAGUGUCUCUGGGUAAUGGGUUCUUGUCCACAACUGUCUCAAAGGCCAUCGAGACAUGGACAUCGAGGCCGCACACAGCUAUUGGUACCAGGUCAGCUGCUAUAGACAUGAAACUCAAUUUCCCAUACCUUGGACAGCGACCCAGAUGAAACCAUUCCAACACAGAAAUGAUCACUGACCUACACACCAACAAACUAUAAUUCAUCGUAAGAUUGUCUUCAUAAUAGUGUAAGAAAACUGUUGUAACUCUCAGCCUCUAAAUACAAACUGCCAACUUCAAUACAUUACCUAUAAUAUUAUGUUUUCUUAAUACUUAUUAAAUUUGUAGGAAAUCUACAAAAUGUUGGCCUUAUAGCAAAGCUUCCUCCUCACAGACACACUACAUUUGAUGGCCCUCAGGUGUUGACGUGCACAGGCUGUGUUUCUGGUGUGGGCACGUCCGGACACAGCUGCUUGCCUCCACCAUCAUCACCGCCACAGACCUAAUACAAGGAUUUCCUCUCUUGUUAGUUUGAUGUAAAAGUGCACUUUGAUCACAGGUGAAUUAUAAUACCAAAGAAGUUAAAAUGUUAAGAGUACAGCUUAGAAAAUAAAUUUCUCACUUUACAAACAAUCAAUCACAUAUGCAACAGAUGCACCAGAAAUAUUUCACCGUACUAAUCAAACUAAUAGAUUGAAGCUGUAGAACAUAGCAAAUACAUAUAUGUAUCAUGAGUAGCUAGGAACAGCAUGGUCUUCAUGUACAUAUCAAAGGUAUGUCAACAGAUAACCAGUGUCAUGGGAGGAGUAUAAUGUAUACUGCAUCCAAAUAAAUAAAAUGAACAGGGAAAGUUUGUUCUACAAGCUAUAGGAUAUUUAACAUUUAAAUAAUAUGGUGACAUAAUUACAGUUACAACGCAGCAAUGAACAUGAGAUUUUAUGAAAAUAGAUAAUAUAUAUACUCAAAAUGGUAAAUAUAGCUUGAUGCAGUGUUAAGACAUUUCAUGAAAUACUACAUGAAGUAGAAGACAACUCUGGUUUGUAGAUAUGUAUAUAUCUACAUAUACAAGUGACUGCACUGAACACACAUGUACACCAAAAAGAGCUAUAUUUACAUUAACGAUAUUAAAAUGACCUGAAAUUUGAAAGCCUGGUGUUUAGUAGACUACCAACAGUGGGUAAAAAAUGUAAAAUCUAUCUGUCACUUCCUAGAAAAAUCUGUUUUCCUAACUAUGCUAAAACUGAUGACUAAUGGAAGAUUUUCCCAUAUAGGUUUUUCAAUUCCAGUGAUAAUUUUGUGGUCCCCAAACCAUCCAGGCAUCAUUUUAUAAACUGCAAUACAUUAUAAUAUUCAACAAGACUGAAUAAAAAAAAAUUCAAUAUUCUAUAUAGCAAAUGAAGCAUGCCAUUAAAAUUGCAGAGUACUAGGCAGCUGUUUUAGGGGACAGUUUCAUGAGUUGAAAAUAAAAUUGAAGAAUAAUUUUAUACAAGUAGACGACUUCAGGAUUUAGCAAUUAUAUAAGAUGGAAUGUAACAAUCACAACUUUUAUCUUGUAUAACCUAAAUGAAUAAGUCAAGAUAUAAAACAACAAUCACUGAGAAUAUCAAACAAAAGGGGAUGAUUAAUUUUUCAUAUCAAAUAUGGAUAUAGGAACAUCCCAUGUACUCUUCAAAGUUAAAUAGCAUGCUCUUUGAUAGAGCAAAAAGAUAUAGGCAAUUUACAAAAUGUAAUCUGACAAGAAUGGAUGGAUUUAAGGAGACGUGAGAUUAUUUUCAUACCACACUUUUAAUUGCCCUGCCUUUAGUUUCUUGAUCUGCCAUAAAAAAUGUUGACAAUUAGUGCUAAAAGAUUAAAAAAAUAAACUAUGAAUUCCACCUAUUACUGACCCAAAGUUCAAAACUCAGCUUUACUCAUGAAUCCCUUUCCUCUAUCACCUUAACUUUUCAGCUACUCAGAUUAGCAAGUUGAAAAAAAAAAAAAAAAAAAAAAAAAAAACAUCUUUAGCUUUAAUCUUUAAAAUCAAAA